AUUGAACGCUGGCGGCGUGCUUAACACAUGCAAGUCGAGCGGUAGCAGGCGUAGCAAUACGUGCUGACGAGCGGCGAACGGGUGAGUAAUGCUUCGGAAUCUUCCUAGUAGUGGGGAAUAACCUGGGGAAACUCAGGCUAAUACCGCAUACGACCUACGGGUGAAAGCAGGGGAUCGCAAGACCUUGCGCUAUUAGAUGAGCCGAAGUCGGAUUAGCUAGUUGGUGAGGUAAAGGCUCACCAAGGCGACGAUCCGUAGCUGGUCUGAGAGGACGACCAGCCACACUGGGACUGAGACACGGCCCAGACUCCUACGGGAGGCAGCAGUGGGGAAUAUUGGACAAUGGGGGCAACCCUGAUCCAGCGACGCCGCGUGUGUGAAGAAGGCCUGCGGGUUGUAAAGCACUUUUAGUGGGGACAAAAAGCCAAGGGUUAAUACCCUUUGGUCUUGAUUUAACCCAAAGAAAAAGCACCGGCUAACUCUGUGCCAGCCGCCGCAGUAA
rnacentral:rRNA from 1 species